GACGAACCGUGCGAACGUUGUUCGGAAUCACUGGGCUUAAAGGGCGCGUAGGCGGGCUGCCGCGUCCGGGGUGAAAUCCCACGGCUCAACCGUGGAACGGCCUCGGAUACGGGCGGCCUCGAGGGGGGUAGGGGCAUCUGGAACUGUGAGUGGAGCGGUGAAAUGCGUUGAUAUUCACAGGAACUCCGGUGGCGAAGGCGAGGUGCUGGACCCCUUCUGACGCUGAGGCGCGAAAGCCAGGGGAGCGAACGGGG
rnacentral:rRNA from 1 species